AUCUUUUUCACUUCAGAAGCACUGAACUUUGGCAAUUUAUAUUUAUUUUAGUUGAAAGAGGCAAGCUAACAACUUGACACCACUUCUAAAUAAGAGGAGACCUUGGUUACAAUUCAUUUUAAGCUUACUUAAUUUUUGAUGAAUUGUUCUUCCUAUUGCAGAUGAUUAGCAGCACUCUCUGUUCUGUAAAGACAGAUUUUCUUUUUACCACAGCACAGCAACUUCUACCUCCCUAUAUCCACGGAAAAUAUUGCAGAAGGUAGAACAAUAAAAAUGUGAAUAUUUUUUCAGAUAGUAUAAACUUGUGUGAUUUUCUUGUCUUGGUAGCUAACAUUAGUUAGCCAGUGUUGCAGCUUCUGUAGAUCAGGGAAGUUUAUUUAUUCUGGUUGAGGGUCUUUGGGGGAUUUUAUUCUUGGUGCAGAUUGGGAUCUUGAGAAGCCUGUAGAAUUUCAGUGCAGAGAAAAGCUGUGUAUUAAACCUUACAUGAAAGGUCAAAGGCAAACUCCUUUUUUAACGAGACCCUUUAUUUAGUUUUGUGUAGGUAUCAGUGCUUCUAUUUUAAAUGGAACCAGGUUUUUUAUUCACAUGUAUGUAUAAAAUUUUAAAUGUAAUGUUUUAGGGGGAAAGAGGAUUGAGACCCUUGCAGAGUAAGCUUUUUCAUGAGUGAAGCUCAGAGCAAAAUCUACAGCACUGUGCUGUAUUACCUUGGGAAAGUACUGCCUCUGUAGCUUUUAUCUAAUGCUCAGCUUAGGCUGCUGUACAUGUAGGUCUGUUUGAUUAUUGCCCCUUGGAGCAGAUAAGUGCAAGCAAUGAUCUCACUCUGUUGUUACAAUAAUUUCUCUUUGGGGAUUCUGCCCUUCUUCAUAUUUCAGUGACAUCAUCCUUUUUGCAGACUGUAACUCACUAAUAUUGACUCCUGACCUUGCUAAUGAAACCUGCAGAAAUACAGUAUGGAAAAACAGAAUGCUUGUAUUGAUAUUGUGAGAAGUAUAGCUAGCUUUUAGCUGUUCAAAACUACUUUUUAAAGGUAGUAAACUUGGAUAAUUAGAGAUGAACCUGAAUAUAUAGCCUUGAAUAAUCAUUUUUUGUUCCUAACAUGUCUGUUCUAUGCCAACCCAUAUAGUAUGCACACAUGCAUCUACCUCAGAUGUAACUUCAGAGUUUUCUUUUAAUUCUGUGACCUAAAUACCUUUAUUAAUUAGCCUGAAACACAACAGCAAAAGGAAACACUUUUCCACAGUGACCAAUUUUUAAAUUGCAGAAACACUAAAAAAUAGACAUACCACUUCAGCCACAGCAAAAUUACCUUAAUUCAUAGAAAAGGCCAAUUUUGUAUGAACCAACAAAGACAAUUUUCUCAUUUAACACAGCAGGGUUUUAGUGGAUGCAAAAUUGCUUUCAAAUACCUCAGAAUGGUGCCUAUCAGUUUCUCAAUAAAUGCCUUCAUGUCGGCAUCCAGGGUGUUGCAGGGAGUACAAGAUUGUGGGAGCUGCGGAGAGGCUGAAGAAUUGAAUAUUCUUACUGUGGUUUAUUGCUGGAUUGAAGCAGAGAAAGCCUUUUUCCUUUGUCAGUCCUUCCAUGUGUUGAUUUUUGUGCAUUUUACCUUUUGAGCAAUCCAGGUCUUCUGUGUUACUGGUAUUAAUUUUAAUCCCUCAUAUAAUGACAAUAAAAUAACCAAAUCAGGGCAGUUUUUUCAUGUGAUUUGUGUGUCUGAGAUCAAUUUGUAUGCAAUCACUUUCAGUAUUUCUCCUGCAUGUUUGGACAAUUUCCUGUUAUGUUUCUGUGGCUUUUCACAGGCAAGAAGAAGGGAAAAGUUCCUAAGAUGACAGGAUUGCAAAGUACACACGCUGGAUAGUUUGGGAGCUAGUUCGGAGGAUGCAGAAAUUACUUUUUACUGGGUUUUAUUUGAUUCUAGGUUGGCACAUGUCUUUUUUGGCUUGUUAAUGUGGUCUAUGUCCUAUCCUAAACUAAAGGGCUAAUGGACAAAAAUUGAAGCUGCUUGGCAAUAGCUGUCAAUGUGUGCAGUGCUGUGCAAAUACAAUUUCUGUGAAGCUCCUAUCUCUGCGAUGCGUUUGCACAGGAAAAGUAUAAUUUCACAAGUCCUGCACUUGAAAUUGCUAAUCACAGUUUUAAUAACUGCAUCUCCCCUUUGAGUCAUGUGUCAGCUCCAGGUCCCCAGUGGUACCAUAAAUGUUUUAUAAAACUUGACUGGAGUAGUGAAAUCCAAGUGAAAAGAUGAGGUUUGGUCCCAUCCCUCCCUCUUUUCCUCUUUGCCUUUGUUCCUUGUUUUCUUGGGAAGCUCCAUAGCUAUAGACUAUAAGUCAAAAGACCUGGAAGAUUGCAUGUUCCAGUGUACCCUGUAUUGAUUUCUGUUCAGUACUCUCCCCAAGCUAAAACUAACCUGAAAUCAUCAUUCUACCAUUUUUAUUUUUAAUGUCAUUCUGUUUGUUGUUCUGUGGGACAUAUUUGCCAUUUUCUUUUAAUGGUUUUUAAGGAAAUACUGGUAACAGCCUAUCAGGAAAGAAACUGAUUUUUGUUUCCUUGUAAGUUGACAUUUCCGUUACAUUUCACCCCAUAGAUAUAUUUAAAAUGGUCUGGAAAGUUUGUUUUCUUUGUGUUCAGAAUUAUGUACUGUAGACAGUGACUUCAGGGCCUCUUAGAGCUGCAAUCAGAAGGCAAAUGGGAGAGAAAUAUUCUGAAAAAAAGGACCAGACUGGUGUCUGUCGUGCUCUUUAUGUACUUUCCAGCUGGUUUUGCUUCUAACGUUCAGUAUUCCUCACGGGACACUGAUGCAAAUCUGCAUUCACAUUUUUCCCCUCUUUGUGUGUAACUCACAAGACCCUAAAGUAAAGCAGUGAUUUGCAGUAUUAGGAAAUGAGGCUCGGUGUCCCUGUCCCCAGUGUGAACGUGCACAUUUAAAUAUGAAUGAAAGUGGGCCAGAACCCCCUUGAAGCCUGGAGUUGAUGCACAGACUGCCUGUUCUUUCCGGUUUAAGUACUGUACUUUUUUUUUUUCCCUUUGCUGAACAACAGCUACCAUAUGGGCUGAGCUUCAGCCAGUCAACUGCUAAAUUACAAACACUCUUUUGACUGUAAAUUGAAUGGAAAAGGAUGUCAGUUAUCGCUUUCCUCCCGUGGCCACACCACAAGAGCACCUGCAGUAAAAAACUGGCAUUCAUGCUCUGAAAGGCACCACAUGCUGCUAUUGUGAGCUGAACAGGAUCUAACCUUGGCUUUGCUUACCCUGUUCCUAUCGCAGAGAGGAGAUGGCAGAGAUAAGAGCCUCGAUUCUGAAUGGGAAUUCACUCAGAGACGUGUCCCAGCACUUAUCCACCCUAUUUUGCUUCCACUAAAGGAAGUAAAAAUCUACUUAGGAAGAUGGCUAUCUGUGCUGUCCUUCUGAGAGCAGUCUUUGACUUGGGCACGUGUUUACCAUAUUGAUUUUGAAGUUCGUUAUGAAAUUAUAAAUGCUUUUUCUCGGAAGGCUCCUCACUGUGACCAGUUCAGCUCAUUCACAGGAUUACCUGGUCUCCAGCCUGAAUGCCAGAACAAAACUACUCUGGUUUCUCACCUGAGCAGAGAUGGUCUGGAGCAGCACCAUCCCUCAUGCCCAGGGCACGCUGGAGCCAUAAACACACCCGUGUCUGCAAGGAGAAUUUGAGCAGGGAGAAAGAAAUUGUCUGGAGCAGUGAACUGGGCAGACCAGUACAAGAGACAGCUGCUGGGCCAGGAAAGGUUCCUGUGCUGGGACGUGUGUCCUGCCAUGGAAUGUGGCAGCUGAGCAAGGCUGCAGCUGCUGCUGGCAAGGGCCUGCCAGCCCUGGGCUUCCAGGAGGGCCAGGGAAAGUCCAUCAUCUGCUGUGUCCAUUAACUCUUCUCUUCCUGGACAGGUAAAAGUCAUUACUGAACCAGCCCAAAUGGUUAUUCACUCUGUGAUUUAAAAUUAUUGGGAAGAACAGGCAGUUUAAUAAUUAGGGUAUUUCCCUAGAGCUGCAUGACUGGCUAAAGAUUAGUGUUUCUGUUGAGCUCCCCAGUUAUGGGGAUAAUGUUGGAUGCAUUAUCGAUCUGUCUUAUGGCUUUUGCUCAAAGAAUCCUUAAAGUUCAGCACCUACAAACAUAAACCCCACUCUGGAGUCACUAAGGGGAGUCAUUAGGUCAAGAAUCAGUGUACUGAAAAAAGUAUUACAGUGCUAAAGAAUGUACUGGGCAACCAAAUAACAUUCACAGUGUUAAUUUACCAUUUUUUGGAGGUUGGAGACCUUGAGUAUUUCUGCCAAUGCUAAAACCCACAAUGCUUGAACACAACCAAAUAAUUCUAGCAUUAAGCUAGCUUUGUGAUUCUGGUAAUUAUUUGGUAGCAUAUAACAUAAAAGAGAUGUAUUUUUAUGUAUCAUAAUGUGUAGUUGCCUUUCUCCCCAGAAGUAAGUGGGUGAAAGAUGCUAUUGCUGUUUGAAUAAUCUCAAAACCAAGAUGCUGAUGUUGAAAAGUUGUUUUUAGAACAUGCUCUGUAUCUUUGGAGGUUUUUAAAAUGCUUUGUUUUGAGAUAGUAGAUGACACCUUAUAUAAUGAAUACCAUCAGACGUUUCAUCCUUGGUUCCUCCCCUAGCUUUGGGCCAAAGCUCUAGCUUUUAGCAUUCAUGCAUAUUAUGACUACUUUAGCAUUAUAAUACAUUAAUUAAGCUUAAAUUAAAUGUCAUUUAUGCUGGUUUUUGGAUAUCCAUUGAUGCCCUUUUUUCCUACCAUCUGUGCAGUGCUACAGAUCGACAGCCCACAUUCCCAAUACCUGUAACAUUUAUUAAUGUUUAGUCUUCACUCUUUCUUUGUUUCUGAUUAGAAUAGUUUUGUACAUCAAUCAGGCAUAUGUAUAUUUGUUAAUUUUUAAUAGAACCUGUAAGGUUUUUUUGUGUGAUUCAAAAAAAGACUGGGGAGAUGCUGUAGCAUAACUGGCAACUGGAAAUCUUGUAGCUCUUUCACAGUCAAGGUUGCACCUUGUCUCUUGCCUUGAUGAGCUUGUUUUUCACAACGUUCCUAGAUACUUAAAAAAUAAAUAUAGGAUGUCUUCUAGGAAAGCAAGUCCAGGUUUGGGAGAGGUACAUGAAUUUUAAGCAGCAAGUCUGUUGCUGGCUUUUCAGCAUUUCCUUCCUGACAGUGUCCCUGUGGAUAUCCAAAAUGUCUCCAGUGACAAAAUUCCAACUGACUUUGCUUUGCUUUCCAUGUCUGUGUGGAAACUCCUGAUAGAUUGUUGCAAAGUUGUCUUCAGGGUUCACCUACAUGGCAAACACCAGAGCAUGGACAUCAGAGCAGGGAACGCUGGGGAAAAGAGGUACAGGACUGUGCAGAGGCAAAUGAGGACAGGAGAGUGUGAAAAAAUGUCAGUGUGGGUGAAAUGCAUUGUCUCCAUGUCUGCUGUCCUCUGUCCCUCAGUCCUGGACUCAUACCCAGAGUCAGAGAGUGCUUGUGGCUGGAAGGGACCUCUGGAUGUGACCUUGUCCAAGCCCCUGCUCAGCAGCUCACCUGGAGCAGGCUGCCGUGGCAGGACCAUCCACAGGCAGGUUUUGAAUCCCUGCAAGGACAUCUCCAAAGCAACUCCUUGCAUUUGCAUUUAUGCCCUUGCCAGACAGCCAAAAUCCUUCAGAAGGGAGAUUUCUCCAGAGAGGCUUUGUAGGAUCUGCUGGACCACAGAAAUGCCUGUCCUAACUGAGGGUUGGAAGGGAGCAGAAUUCCUAAAUAAACAUGAGAAAAAAAUGCAUGUGAGCAGGAAAGUGAGGAAAGCAGGUGUAAAUGUGGGCAUCUGUUAGGUCUGGUUGUACCUUCAAAGAAGUUUCUCCUGUUAACAAGAAUUCUCAGACCUUGGAAAGUCUCUGAAACAUGCAGCUGAAUUCAGAAAUGUCUGUAUCUGCUGGAGUCAGAGGUGGGAAGUGUGGUAUUUGCUUCUUACUGUGCUCUAGAAAUAAUAUUAGAAGAGAUGGCAACUAUUCCUAUCCAAUGUCUUUUGAUAAGGUCACUCUGAGCUUAUUCUGAAUUUGCUUUUUCUGAGAAGUAUUUUGGAGUUCUCAAAAUUUGGGUUUUAUGUGUCAUGUGUGGCCAUCACUUACCUUAAGUCAAGCAGCUGUUUUUAUAUCCUGUUUUUCUGUCUCUUGCUAGCUCUGUGCUUGGUAUGGGACAUCUUGCUGCAAUCCUGCUGCUUUGGAUGUGCCAGUUAUGUAAACAGAGAGUGGGGAUAGGUGUAGCUUCCUCUAGACUGAAAGUGGUGCUUGCAGCAGAGAAGGAGUUGGGCUGAAGUAAUUCCUUUCAUUAGAAUAAAAAUCUGAAAAUAAAAGUCUGAACUGCAUCUAGAGGUAAGCUGUUUCUUUCAAACUUUUCAAAAAAAGUAUGGAUUCUUCCUCCUUCCCUCCCCAGAAUUCAAGAAAAUAUGAUUUGUCUUUGAAAAUGGAUGGGUUGAGUUUUUUUUAAAGCAAAUAUUUUUAAAUGGGUGGUUUCUUUGGUAUGCUGAAAGAAAACAAAUACAUUCAAAAGGGCUGAGACUUUAACCCCAGGGAAGUGCUAAAGGAAAGCCAGACAAAUUCCUGUGCUGACU
rnacentral:lncRNA from 1 species